rnacentral:rRNA from 1 species
GACGAACGCUGGCGGCGUGCUUAACACAUGCAAGUCGAACGGAAAGGCCCUGCUUUUGUGGGGUUCUCGAGUGGCGAACGGGUGAGUAACACGUGAGUAACCUGCCCUUGACUUUGGGAUAACUUCAGGAAACUGGGGCUAAUACCGGAUAGGAGCUCCUGCUGCAUGGUGGGGGUUGGAAAGUUUCGGCGGUUGGGGAUGGACUCGCGGCUUAUCAGCUUGUUGGUGGGGUAGUGGCUUACCAAGGGUUUGACGGGUAGCCGGCCUGAGAGGGUGAACGGCCACCUUGGGACUGAGAUACGGCGCAGACUCCUACGGGAGGCAGCAGUGGGGAAUAUUGCACAAUGGGCGGAAGCCUGAUGCAGCAACGCCGCGUGCGGGAUGACGGCCUUCGGGUUGUAAACCGCUUUCGCCUGUGACGAAGCGUGAGUGACGGUAAUGGGUAAAGAAGCACCGGCUAACUACGUG